rnacentral:rRNA from 1 species
AUUGAACGCUGGCGGCAGGCCUAACACAUGCAAGUCGAGCGAGCGGCGGACGGGUGAGUAAUGUCUGGGAUACUGCCUGUUGGAGGGGGAUAACUACUGGAAACGGUAGCUAAUACCGCAUACCAUCAGAUGUGCCCAGAUGGGAUUAGCUAGUAGGUGGGGUAACGGCUCACCUAGGCGACGAUCCCUAGCUGGUCUGAGAGGAUGACCAGGAACACUGGAACUGAGACACGGUCCAGACGCCGAGGGGAGGCAGCAGUGGGGAAUAGUGCACAAUGGGCGAAAGCCUGAUGCAGCAAGGCCGCGUGGGUGAAGAAGGCCGUGGGGUGGAAAAGGACGUUCAGCGGGGAGGCGUUACCCGAAGAAGAAGCACCGGCUAACUCCGUGCCAGCAGCCGCGGUAAUUC